CCGCCGGUAGCGUAGUGGUUAUCGUGGCCAGACCGGUAUUCUGGAGGUCGUGGGUUCGAUUCCCACCUGGCGGG
rnacentral:tRNA from 1 species